AAUGUAGCAUAUCCCAUUAUAACUUCACAGUUAAGUGUGCUCGGGCUAGAGUAGUACUGGGAUGGGUGACCGCCUGGGAAGUCCUAGUAUUUUACAUGC
rnacentral:rRNA from 1 species